rnacentral:sRNA from 1 species
AGGGGACUCGAGGCAUCCCUUGUGGACAGCUGUCAGGACCUGCCAAGCACUGCACCUGGUGAUCCCCUUCAGGUUUGAGCCAGUCCAUGGGGAGGAGCCGUCCACCAGGCAGGCUAUGCCCACUGGAAGGGCCAAGUGCUGAAUUCAGAUGAGCUCCAGGAGUUGUAUGAAGGCCUGAGGCUGAACAACAUGAAUAAAUAUGACUACGUGCUCACAGGUUAUACGAGGGACAAGUCGUUCCUGGCCAUGGUGGUGGACAUUGUACAGGAGCUGAAGCAGCAGAACCCCAGGCUGGUGUACGUGUGUGAUCCAGUCUUGGGUGACAAGUGGGAUGGCGAAGGCUCGAUGUACGUCCCGGAGGACCUCCUUCCCGUCUACAAAGAAAAAGUGGUGCCGCUUGCAGACAUUAUCACGCCCAACCAGUUUGAGGCCGAGUUACUGACUGGCCAGAAGAUCCACAGCCAGGAGGAAGCCUUGCGGGUGAUGGACAUGCUGCACUCUAUGGGCCCCGACACCGUGGUCAUCACCAGCUCCAACCUGCCCUCCCCGCAGGGCAGCGACUACCUGAUCGUGCUGGGGAGCCAGAGGAGGAGGAAUCCCGCUGGCUCCGUGGUGAUGGAACGUAUCCGGAUGGACAUUCGCAAGGUGGAUGCCGUCUUUGUGGGCACUGGGGACCUGUUUGCUGCCAUGCUCCUGGCGUGGACACACAAGCACCCCAAUAACCUCAAGGUGGCCUGUGAGAAGACCGUGUCUACCUUGCACCAUGUUCUGCAGAGGACCAUCCAGUGUGCAAAAGCCCAGGCCGGGGAAGGAGUGAGGCCCAGCCCCAUGCAGCUGGAGCUGCGGAUGGUGCAGAGCAAAAGGGACAUCGAGGACCCAGAGAUCGUCGUCCAGGCCACGGUGCUGUGAGGGCCGCGCCGCUCGCCCGUGACACGCAGCGCGUUGGUGUCUCCGUGUUUGUCCCUGUGAAAACAUGUAACGUCUGCCUUAGAGCCAUGACCGAAACUUGAUAUUUUUUUCUUUCAUGAGUGUCCGGCAUCUGCUGGUCUUCAUUGUGAAAUGUGCCAGUCGUGCUUUGUGAAAAAUAACAAAGCGGUCACA